GUCGAACGGUAACAGGUCUUCGGAUGCUGACGAGUGGCGAACGGGUGAGUAAUACAUCGGAACGUGCCCGAUCGUGGGGGAUAACGAAGCGAAAGCUUUGCUAAUACCGCAUACGAUCUACGGAUGAAAGCAGGGGACCGCAAGGCCUUGCGCGAACGGAGCGGCCGAUGGCAGAUUAGGUAGUUGGUGGGAUAAAAGCUUACCAAGCCGACGAUCUGUAGCUGGUCUGAGAGGACGACCAGCCACACUGGGACUGAGACACGGCCCAGACUCCUACGGGAGGCAGCAGUGGGGAAUUUUGGACAAUGGGCGAAAGCCUGAUCCAGCCAUGCCGCGUGCAGGAUGAAGGCCUUCGGGUUGUAAACUGCUUUUGUACGGAACGAAAAGACUCUGGUUAAUACCUGGGGUCCAUGACGGUACCGUAAGAAUAAGCACCGGCUAACUACGUGCCAGCAGCCGCGGUAAUACGUAGGGUGCAAGCGUUAAUCGGAAUUACUGGGCGUAAAGCGUGCGCAGGCGGUUAUAUAAGACAGAUGUGAAAUCCCCGGGCUCAACCUGGGAACUGCAUUUGUGACUGUAUAGCUAGAGUACGGCAGAGGGGGAUGGAAUUCCGCGUGUAGCAGUGAAAUGCGUAGAUAUGCGGAGGAACACCGAUGGCGAA
rnacentral:rRNA from 1 species